UACGGGGGGAGCAAGCGUUGUUCGGAUUUACUGGGCGUAAAGGGCGCGUAGGCGGCCAGCACAAGUCAGUUGUGAAAUCUCCGGGCUUAACUCGGAAAGGUCAACUGAUACUGUGCGGCUAGAGUGCAGAAGGGGCAACUGGAAUUCUCGGUGUAGCGGUGAAAUGCGUAGAUAUCGAGAGGAACACCUGCGGCGAAGGCGACUACCUGGCCUGUUCUUGACGCUGAGGCGCGAAAGCUAGGGGAGCAAACGGG
rnacentral:rRNA from 1 species